GCGGCAAGUGCGAUUGAGCGGAACAGUAGAACCGGGUCGACGUCGCGAACCAGAGUAGGAGACAAGGAACGUGCUGCCUUACGGUGUAGUGUAGUGCGACCAAGCGGUUGCAAUGAACGUGAUGGUGAAGACGACGAGAACGACGAGAAUGAGGACGACAGGUGGUCCUUGCUCGUGCAGAAACAGAAGCA
rnacentral:ribozyme from 1 species